CAGCCGCCGCGGGAAUACGAAGGGUGCAAGCGUUACUCGGAAUUACUGGGCGUAAAGCGUGCGUAGGUGGUGGUUUAAGUCCGUUGUGAAAGCCCUGGGCUCAACCUGGGAAUGGCAGUGGAUACUGGCUCGCUAGAGUGUGUCAGAGGAUGGUGGAAUUCCCGGUGUAGCGGUGAAAUGCGUAGAGAUCGGGAGGAACAUCAGUGGCGAAGGCAGCCCCCUGGGCCAACACUGACGCUCAUGCACGAAAGCGUGGGGAGCAAACAGGAUUAGAGACCCCCGUAGUCCCUGUCUCUUAUAC
rnacentral:rRNA from 1 species